UACGGGGGGGGCAAGCGUUGUUCGGAAUUACUGGGCGUAAAGGGCGCGUAGGCGGCCUGUUAAGUCGGAUGUGAAAACUCUGGGCUCAACCCAGAGCCUGCAUUCGAUACUGAUGGGCUAGAGUUCUGGAGGGGAAAGCGGAAUUCCUGGUGUAGCGGUGAAAUGCGUAGAUAUCAGGAGGAACACCGGUGGCGAAGGCGGCUUUCUGGACAGAAACUGACGCUGAGGCGCGAAAGCUAGGGGAGCAAACAGG
rnacentral:rRNA from 1 species